rnacentral:misc_RNA from 1 species
AAGUCGUAACAAGGUUUCCGUAGGUGAACCUGCGGAAGGAUCAUUAACGCAUCUUCUGGCGGAGGCGGGCGAUCCCAGCUCCGGGCCCCAACCGGCCCGUGCAGCGGGCUCCCCGUCGACGUCCAAACCUUUGCUAAACCCAACUGUGCACCUUUGCGGCGGAAGGCUGGCAACGGCCCGACGCCGCCUCUACCAAACUCUGUUACAAACGAAUGUUCAAGCGACGCUCCGCGUUGCCUAAUAAACUUGACAACUUUCAACAACGGAUCUCUUGGCUCUC